rnacentral:rRNA from 1 species
AUUGAACGCUGGCGGCAUGCUUUACACAUGCAAGUCGAACGGCAGCACGGGGGCAACCCUGGUGGCGAGUGGCGAACGGGUGAGUAAAGCAUCGGUACGUGCCCUGGAGUGGGGGGAUAACGUAGCGAAAGUUACGCUAAUACCGCAUAUUCUGUGAGCAGGAAAGCAGGGGGAUCGCAAGACCUUGCGCUCUGGGAGCGGCCGAUGUCGGAUUAGCUAGUUGGUGGGGUAAAGGCCUACCAAGGCGACGAUCCGUAGCGGGUCUGAGAGGAUGAUCCGCCACACUGGGACUGAAACACGGCCCAGACUCCUACGGGAGGCAGCAGUGGGGAAUUUUGGACAAUGGGCGAAAGCCUGAUCCAGCCAUGCCGCGUGAGUGAAGAAGGCCU